UUUAGGUGCAUUAGCAUAGAUUAUUUAUUUCACCUUUUUUUUUCCAUCUCACUUUUUCUGAACAAAAUAUUCAAACAUGAUGGUUCCAGCUUUUCAAAAAGAAGAUAACACAUUCAUUUAAUUUUUUCAGAGUUAUGAAAUGAAUAUUUUGACAUUUCAGACAGGGAUUUUUAGAGCCCGACUGAUUAAAUCGGCCAAUUUUAGCCCGCUUGAGACUUAUUGGUAACCGGCCAAAACUCGCUGAUUUUCGCAGAUAUUUUCAGAAAUAAAAGUUGAAAACGCUUUUCUGGUCUGAGUUUGAUCAGUCGGUCUAUUCCUGUCAGUGGGAAGAGCAGUAGCCUACAGUAUAUGUACAGUAUAUAGUAUAUUGUAGUAUAAAGUAUACUGUAGAUAUCUACAGUAUAUAUAUUUUUCUAACUUCAUAAAAAUUUUUAAAUCGGUAAUCGAAUUCCCCCCCUCUAAUAAUCGGUAUCCAUAUCGGUUGGGCCCUAGUGAUUAUAACAACAAAAAAAGGUCAGAUACUUUAAUUCAGUGAUUUGACUAAAUAAGUUCUCACUUUUAUGUUGUUUGCUCCAUUCCUGACUUUUUACAGGACCUUGAAUGCAGCAUUUUAACCCACUCCAGUCACAUUUUCUUAUCUCAGCUGUUCUCAGUGUCUGGAUCACGUCACUUUUUUCAACCUAAUCCGAGCCUUUUUCCUGUUGUGUAAGCGAUCAGAUCUGUAUGCUUUAUAAAAUGAUUAUUUCCUAUGAUGUCACUGAGAGGCUAAAGUCCUCUGAUUGGCUCUUGGCUAUUAACCUUUGAUCGGAGUCAGCAGACAGGUUGAACUCUAAACUCACCUGCCGCAGGUCUCUGUCAAAAUGCUAUCUUAUUCUCCUGAUUGGAGCUUAUUUAUACUUUUUAUUUUCCAUCAUUGUGACUCCAGGUUGAAUAUUUUUAGUGCUGAGUCACUUUUUGAGCUGCAGAGGAAGUAAGAGGGAAGAUGAGGUUAUUUUUGACCUUUCAGAAACCACAGUUGCUUUAUUUAUUUUCAUUUUAAUUCAGACUUUUUCUGCUCUGAACAGAGUCGCUCUUUGUUCACAAGUGUCAGCUGUUUUUACAGUUAUUAUAUAAACUGUCCUGAAAUAGAAACAGAGUGAUGUGAUUUUGAUCUCCUCAAGCUGUAUCCACGCAAAGAUAAGGUUAAAAUUUCCAUUGAAUAUCAUCAUUAUGCUUUUCAUGUUUUGUAUUAAAGUCUGAACAAACAGCACUUUAUUUUUUAAAGUCUGGUUUGAUAACCUUUUCGUUUUUGAGCGUACAGAAAGCCAACAUUGAUCAUCAUUUCCUCCUCGUAUGAAGAUGUUUUUCUGGGUGAAUCCCUGAUAUGAGAUGCUCUUUGUUUAGUGUUUAGGGAAGUGCAGAGACAGAAGCAGAACUUGGACAAAGGUCAUUUGGUUUCAGUUUGUUAUAAAGCAUGUUUUUAUUAUUCACAUCAUAUUUUUUUUUUGUGGAUCGUACAGUCAGACAGCACUGACCUCCUUUUCUGUGACCUCUGAGGAUCAUUUUUGUAGUGUCUCUGAGGCGUGAUCGGGCUGAAGUUAUGUGACUCUGAUGCCAUCUGUUGCAGGAUCUCGCAGUCAGUAAUUUGUCUGAGAUCAGAUGUCUGUAGAGGAAUGUCUCGACUUGAAGAAACAUAAUUGAAUCUAAUUUAUUCUGCUUUAUAGUGUGAAGAUGAACAGAAGUAAAAGACUUUAGCCCCAGGCUGCAGCUGCCGUCUGAAGCUUCACACAUUUAAAACUAUUUUAAACACAUCUGAUUUAAAGGUUACUAAAGCUUUUCAGACAUCCAUAGAGGUCCUGAAAACUUCUUGAAAAUUUCCAGGUGAGCUACAUGUGUGAACAUGAACCGCUGAAAUUUUGCCCUUGAAUUUUUUAUGCAGACCCCCAUGAUAUAAUUCCAGGGUGAAGUCAGGGCAAGAUCAUGUGAGAACACAGCAGGAAACCCUCAGGAAAAUUCAGGACAUGGUAUGAUGGCAUUUUUCAUGCAGUCAGUGUUGUGUUUAGUGUAGCUGCUUGGAUGGAAGAGGAUUCUCUAACUAGAGGACCAAACUCCAUUAAAUAAAAGCAAAUAUUUUGAGAGUUAUCUUCUCGUCUCAAAGACAGACCAGAAAAAUCCUGAACAUCAACUUUUCAUAGAUUAGCAUCCUGAUGUAGUCAUUUCAGCCUGUUUGUUAUCAUUAAACCAUACUCAGAUCUAUUGAUUUUGGCUCCAAAUAGAGAUUCCAGCUGAUUUUUAUGUUACUUUUUCAGGCGUAAUGAAACUGAGAUUUGGCACAGACAAAUUCAGCGAAACAAAAUCUGUAAAACUGAUGCUCACUCGCGACAGUGAAUUUAAGACUUGUUGCAGAGAAAAAGUGAAACUGAGACUAACUGGAAACAGCUACAGUGAAACUGAGACUGUGGAGAUUAAUUUAGUGAAAAGGCGACUCAGUAAAGACAGAUACAAUAAAACUGAGACCAAAUGAAAACAUUGCAGACUCAGCAAAGAUACAGAGAUACUGAGACUCAGCUAAUGCAAAAACAGUACAGCUGGGACUCAGUAGAGACAAAGACAGUGAAAGUGACUCUCAAUAGAAGCAGUAACAGUGAAACUGAGACUCAGUGGAGACAGAUAGCGGAACUUUAAGACCCAGUAGAGUCUUACACUUUAGUUGAAACAGCUACAGUGAAACUGAGACUUAGUGGAGAUAGAUAGACAGGCUCUCCAAAGACAGAUACAAUAAAACUGAGACCAAAUGAAAACAUUGGAGACUCAGCAAAGAUACAGAGAAACUGAGACUCAGCUAAUGCAGAUGCAGUACAGCUGGGACUCACUAGAAACAGAUAAUGUAAAGCUGAGACUCACUAGAGACAAAUACAGUGAAAGUGACUCUCAAUAGAGGCAGUAACAGUGAAACAGAGACUCAGUGGAGACAGAUAGUGGAACUUUAAGACUCAGUCGAGACUUAUAAUUUAGUUGAAACAGAUACAGUGAAACUGAGACUUAGUGGAGAUAGAUAGACAGGC
rnacentral:lncRNA from 1 species